rnacentral:misc_RNA from 1 species
AAGUCGUAACAAGGUUUCCGUAGGUGAACCUGCGGAAGGAUCAUUACUGAAUUGUCAACACGAGUUGUUGCUGGUCCUCAAAUGGGGGCAUGUGCACACUCUGUUUACACAUCCACUCACACCUGUGCACCCUCUGUAGUUCUGUGUUUGGGGGGACUCUGUCCUCCUGGCAUGGUCCUAUAUCUUUACACACACUCUGUAUUGAAGUCUUAUGGAAUGUAUACCGCGUUUAACGCAAUACAAUACAACUUUCAGCAACGGAUCUCUUGGCUCUC